CUCUUUUUGAGAUGGCUUGAAAGUGAUCUUGCAAGAGGUCCCAUACUCUGAGUUAGAGGAAACAGAAAAAGGCAAGAAUAGCUUUUAUUUUUGUCUGCAAUUCCAGAAUGAAGAGCAAGAAGGAAACAGAUGCAGUUUUAGGGCCUGUUCAGUUUGUUCCAUUCUUCAGCACUGUGUACUUCAUAUUUACAGAACUCCUGCAUAUUAGUGUGUUGUUGAGCUUUUCAUUGAGGAUGGGUCUCUUGACUUAUACCGUGCUGUUCAAUAAACUGAACUGCUUGAAUGAAAGAAAGUAAAGAGGAAAAUGGUGACCACAGCUCAGCCUGGAAUCUCAGGUCUCUCUGCAGAGAGAGAGGUCGCUACUCAGGGAGGCACUUUCCUCCUUGGAAACAAGAAAAGAAAUCCCCGGGAAGGAGGAGAAAAUGCAUCUGGGUAACAGGAGGGGAUCUUGUCAAUCUUCAAGUCACUAGAAAAUGAUCAUGAAAGUCUUUUGUUAGAGAAGCCUAUAAUGCCAGGAGUAUGUUUUCUUUACCUAAUGUGCAUGUAUAGCAUCCACUUUAUUAGUUCUCAAGCUCACAGUACGUAAUGAGGGACCACAGAUGAGAAAACCGCCCUUGACAGUGGCUGUCUACUCUGCAAAGCAGCAUUGUUUCUAAACGCCUGAAUAAAAGCAUGUUAACAGCAGGAGUCA
rnacentral:lncRNA from 1 species